rnacentral:rRNA from 1 species
UCCUCCUUUUUCUCUCUUUUCUUUGAAUCACUGGGCGUAAAGCGCACGUAGGCGGAUUGUUAAGUCAGGGGUGAAAUCCUGGAGCUCAACUCCAGAACUGCCUUUGAUACUGGCGAUCUUGAGUCCGGGAGAGGUGAGUGGAACUCCGAGUGUAGAGGUGAAAUUCGUAGAUAUUCGGAAGAACACCAGUGGCGAAGGCGGCUCACUGGCCCGGUACUGACGCUGAGGUGCGAAAGCGUGGGGAGCAAACAGG